rnacentral:rRNA from 1 species
CCUACGGGGGGCAGCAGUGGGGAAUUUUGGACAAUGGGCGCAAGCCUGAUCCAGCCAUGCCGCGUGCAGGAUGAAGGCCUUCGGGUUGUAAACUGCUUUUGUACGGAACGAAAAGCCCCCUUCUAAUAAAGGGGGGUGAUGACGGUACCGUAAGAAUAAGCACCGGCUAACUACGUGCCAGCAGCCGCGGUAAUACGUAGGGUGAAAGCGUUAAUCGGAAUUACCGGGGGCGAAUAUGUAAGAGAGAGGUGAAAUCCCCGGGCUCAACCUGGGAACUGCCUUUGUGACUGCAUAGCUUGAGUGCGGCAGAGGGGGAUGGAAUUCCGCGUGUAGCAGUGAAAUGCGUAGAUAUGCGGAGGAACACCGAUGGCGAAGGCAAUCCCCUGGGCCUGCACUGACGCUCAUGCACGAAAGCGUGGGGAGCAAACAGGAUUAGAUACCCCAGUAGUC